GCUGGUUUGAGGUUGGGUUCGCCCUUCAACUGCCAGCAGGUUACCUUCGAUAAAUCAGAGUGCUCAAUACAGGCGCUUGCUUGAAUAGCUCAUCAUGGAAUAAUGAAACAGGACUUCGGUUCUUUUUGUUGGUUCUAGAAUUGAUCUAAUGGUUAAGAGGGACAAACCGGGGGCAUUCGUAUCAUUACGCGAGAGGUGAAAUUCGUGGACCGUAGUGAGACGCCCAAUAGCGAAAGCAUUUGCCAAGAAUGUCUUCAUUAAUCAAGAACGAAAGUCAGAGGUUCGAAGGCGAUUAGAUACCGCCCUAGUUCUGACCGUAAACGAUGCCAUCUCGCGAUUCGGAGGGUUCAUGCCCUACCGAGGAGCUACCCGGAAACGAAAGUCUUUCGGUUCCGGGGGUAGUAUGGUUGCAAAGCUGAAACUUAAAGAAAUUGACGGAAGGGCACCACAAGGCGUGGAGCUUGCGGCUUAAUUUGACUCAACACGGGAAAACUCACCCGGUCCGGACACUAUUAGGACUGACAGAUUGAAAGCUCUUUCUCGAUUUGGUGGUUGGUGGUGCAUGGCCGUUCUUAGUUGGUGGAGUGAUUUGCUGGUUUAUUCCGAUAACGAGCGAGACUCUAGCCUGCUAAAUAGUCGACGAAUCUUCGGGUUCGUAUAACUUCUUAGAGGGAUAAGCGGUGUUUAGCCGCACGAGAUUGAGCGAUAACAGGUCUGUGAUGCCCUUAGAUGUCCGGGGCUGCACGCGUGCUACACUGGUGGAGUCAGCGGGUUUUUCCUAUGCCGAAAGGUAUCGGUAAACCGUUGAACUUCUUCCAUGUCCGGGAUAGGGUAUUGUAAUUAUUACCCUUAAACGAGGAAUGCCUAGUAAGUGUGAGUCAUCAGCUCACGUUGAUUACGUCCCUGCCCUUUGUACACACCGCCCGUCGCUAUCCGGGACUGAACUGAUUCGAGAAGAGUGGGGACUGUGGCUGCGAGGUUUUACCACUUCGCAGUUGCGGAAACCAUUUUUAUCGCAUUGGUUUGAACCGGGUAAAGUCGUAACAAGGUAGCUGUAGGUGAACCUGCAGCUGGAUCAUCG
rnacentral:ncRNA from 1 species